GGACUCGCGGCCUAUCAGCUUGUUGGUGAGGUAAUGGCUCACCAAGGCGACGACGGGUAGCCGGCCUGAGAGGGUGACCGGCCACACUGGGACUGAGACACGGCCCAGACUCCUACGGGAGGCAGCAGUGGGGAAUAUUGCACAAUGGGCGAAAGCCUGAUGCAGCAACGCCGCGUGAGGGAUGACGGCCUUCGGGUUGUAAACCUCUUUUAGUAGGGAAGAAGGGAGCUUGCUCUUGACGGUACCUGCAGAAAAAGCACCGGCUAACUACGUGCCAGCAGCCGCGGUAAUACGUAGGGUGCAAGCGUUGUCCGGAAUUAUUGGGCGUAAAGAGCUCGUAGGCGGUUUGUCGCGUCUGCUGUGAAAUCCCGAGGCUCAACCUCGGGCUUGCAGUGGGUACGGGCAGACUAGAGUGCGGUAGGGGAGAUUGGAAUUCCUGGUGUAGCGGUGGAAUGCGCAGAUAUCAGGAGGAACACCGAUGGCGAAGGCAGAUCUCUGGGCCGUAACUGACGCUGAGGAGCGAAAGCGUGGGGAGCGAACAGGAUUAGAUACCCUGGUAGUCCACGCCGUAAACGUUGGGCGCUAGAUGUAGGGACCUUUC
rnacentral:rRNA from 1 species